rnacentral:rRNA from 1 species
UACAGAGGGGGCAAGCGUUGUUCGGAAUUACUGGGCGUAAAGGGCGCGUAGGCGGCCUUCUAAGUCGAACGUGAAAUCCCCGGGCUCAACCCGGGAACUGCGUCCGAUACUGGAAGGCUUGAAUCCGGGAGAGGGAUGUGGAAUUCCAGGUGUAGCGGUGAAAUGCGUAGAUAUCUGGAGGAACACCGGUGGCGAAGGCGAACAUCCUGGA